rnacentral:rRNA from 1 species
AUACGGAGGAUCCGAGCGUUAUCCGGAUUUAUUGGGUUUAAAGGGUGCGUAGGCGGUUUGCUAAGCGGGAGGUGAAAUGCCGGCGCUCAACGUCGGAAGUGCCUCCCGAACUGGUGGACUUGAAUGACUCUGCCGUGGGAGGAAUGUGUAGUGUAGCGGUGAAAUGCUUAGAGAUUACACAGAACACCGAUUGCGAAGGCAUCUCACGAAGGGUUGAUUGACGCUGAGGCACGAAAGCGUGGGGAUCAAACAGGAUUAGAUACCCUGGUAGUCCACGCAGUAAACGAUGAUGGCUAACCGCUGGAUCCAUCGAUUCAGUGGCCAAGCGAAAGCGAUAAGCCAUCCACCUGGGGAGUACGACCGCAAGGUUGAAACUCAAAUGAAUUGGCGGGG